GCGUCUAGUUGCAAGGUAUAGACCCGAAACCCGGUGAUCUAGCCAUGGGCAGGUUGAAGGUUGGGUAACACUAACUGGAGGACCGAACCGACUAAUGUUGAAAAAUUAGCGGAUGACUUGUGGCUGGGGGUGAAAGGCCAAUCAAACCGGGAGAUAGCUGGUUCUCCCCGAAAUCUAUUUAGGUAGAGCCUUGAGCGGACACCUUCGGGGGAAGAGCACUGUUUCGGCUAGGGGUCCAUCCCGGAUUACCAACCCGAUGCAAACUACGAAUACCGAAGAGUGAUACUCAGGAGACACACGGCGGGUGCUAACGUCCGUCGUGGAGAGGGAAACAACCCAGACCGCCAGCUAAGGUCCCAAAGUCUAUAUUAAGUGGGAAACGAAGUGGGAAGGCUUAGACAGCUAGGAUGUUGGCUUAGAAGCAGCCAUCAUUUAAAGAAAGCGUAAUAGCUCACUAGUCGAGUCGGCCUGCGCGGAAGAUGUAACGGGGCUCAAAUAUAGCACCGAAGCUGCGGCAUCAGUAGCAAUACUGUUGGGUAGGGGAGCGUUCUGUAAGCGGAUGAAGGUGGCUCGAGAGGGCUGCUGGACGUAUCAGAAGUGCGAAUGCUGACAUAAGUAACGAUAAAACGGGUGAAAAACCCGUUCGCCGGAAGACCAAGGGUUCCUGUCCAACGUUAAUCGGGGCAGGGUGAGUCGGCCCCUAAGGCGAGGCUGAAAAGCGUAGUCGAUGGGAAACGGGUUAAUAUUCCCGUACUUGGAUAAACUGCGAUGUGGGGACGGAGCAGGUUAGGUUAUCGCACUGUUGGAUAUGUGCGUUUAAGUUGGUAGGUGAGAGGUUUAGGCAAAUCCGGCCUUCUAUCACACCGAGAGAUGAUGACGAGGCUCUACGGAGCUGAAGUAACCGAUACCACACUUCCAGGAAAAGCCACUAAGCUUCAGGUUUAUCUAAACCGUACUGAAAACCGACACAGGUGGUCAGGUAGAGAAUACUCAGGCGCUUGAGAGAACUCGGGUGAAGGAACUAGGCAAAAUAGCACCGUAACUUCGGGAGAAGGUGCGCCGGCGUAGAUUGUAGUCCCUAGCGGGCGAAGGUUGAACCGGUCGAAGAUACCAGCUGGCUGCAACUGUUUAUUAAAAACACAGCACUCUGCAAACACGAAAGUGGACGUAUAGGGUGUGAUGCCUGCCCGGUGCUGGAAGGUUAAUUGAUGGUGUAAUCGAAAGAGAAGCUCCUGAUCGAAGCCCCAGUAAACGGCGGCCGUAACUAUAACGGUCCUAAGGUAGCGAAAUUCCUUGUCGGGUAAGUUCCGACCUGCACGAAUGGCAUAAUGAUGGCCAGGCUGUCUCCACCCGAGACUCAGUGAAAUUGAAAUCGCCGUGAAGAUGCGGUGUACCCGCGGCUAGACGGAAAGACCCCGUGAACCUUUACUAUAGCUUGACACUGAACAUUGAAUUUUGAUGUGUAGGAUAGGGGGGAGCCUUUGAAGCAGUCACGCCAGUGAUUGUGGAGGCGUCCUUGAAAUACCACCCUUUAACGUUUGAUGUUCUAACGAAGAUUACGAAACGUGGUCUCGGACAGUGUCUGGUGGGUAGUUUGACUGGGGCGGUCUCCUCCCAAAGAGUAACGGAGGAGCACGAAGGUUUGCUAAUGACGGUCGGACAUCGUCAGGUUAGUGCAAUGGUAUAAGCAAGCUUAACUGCGAGACAGACAAGUCGAGCAGGUACGAAAGUAGGUCAUAGUGAUCCGGUGGUUCUGAAUGGAAGGGCCAUCGCUCAACGGAUAAAAGGUACUCCGGGGAUAACAGGCUGAUACCGCCCAAGAGUUCAUAUCGACGGC
rnacentral:rRNA from 1 species